ACCUGGGGAGAAGACCACAGGGAUUGCCCUAGUAACGGCGAGUGAAGCGGCAACAGCUCAAAUUUGAAAUCUGGCUCUCGGGCCCGAGUUGUAAUUUGUAGAGGAUACUUUUGAUGCGGUGCCUUCCGAGUUCCCUGGAACGGGACGCCAUAGAGGGUGAGAGCCCCGUCUGGUUGGAUGCCAAAUCUCUGUAAAGUUCCUUCGACGAGUCGAGUAGUUUGGGAAUGCUGCUCUAAAUGGGAGGUAUAUGUCUUCUAAAGCUAAAUACCGGCCAGAGACCGAUAGCGCACAAGUAGAGUGAUCGAAAGAUGAAAAGCACUUUGAAAAGAGAGUUAAAAAGUACGUGAAAUUGUUGAAAGGGAAGCGUUUAUGACCAGACUUGGGCUUGGUUAAUCAUCUGGGGUUCUCCCCAGUGCACUUUUCCAGUCCAGGCCAGCAUCAGUUUUUGCCGGGGGAUAAAGACUUCGGGAAUGUGGCUCUCUUCGGGGAGUGUUAUAGCCCGUUGUGUAAUACCCUGGCGGGGACUGAGGUUCGCGCAUCUGCAAGGAUGCUGGCGUAAUGGUCAUCAACGACCCGUCUUGAAACACGGACCAAGGAGUCGUCUUCGUAUGCGAGUGUUCGGGUGUCAAACCCCUACGCGUAAUGAAAGUGAACGCAGGUGAGAGCUUCGGCGCAUCAUCGACCGAUCCUGAUGUUCUCGGAUGGAUUUGAGUAAGAGCAUACGGGGCCGGACCCGAAAGAAGGUGAACUAUGCCUGUAUAGGGUGAAGCCAGAGGAAACUCUGGUGGAGGCUCGCAGCGGUUCUGACGUGCAAAUCGAUCGUCAAAUAUGGGCAUGGGGGCGAAAGACUAAUCGAACCUUCUAGUAGCUGGUUUCCGCGA
rnacentral:ncRNA from 1 species